rnacentral:rRNA from 1 species
CCUACGGGAGGCAGCAGUGGGGAAUAUUGGACAAUGGGGGGAACCCUGAUCCAGCCAUGCCGCGUGUGUGAAGAAGGCCCUCGGGUUGUAAAGCACUUUCAGUGAGGAAGAACGCCUGGUGGUUAAUACCCAUCAGGAAAGACAUCACUCACAGAAGAAGCACCGGCUAACUCCGUGCCAGCAGCCGCGGUAAUACGGAGGGUGCGAGCGUUAAUCGGAAUUACUGGGCGUAAAGCGCGCGUAGGUGGCUUGAUAAGCCGGUUGUGAAAGCCCCGGGCUCAACCUGGGAACGGCAUCCGGAACUGUCAAGCUAGAGUGCAGGAGAGGAAGGUAGAAUUCCCGGUGUAGCGGUGAAAUGCGUAGAGAUCGGGAGGAAUACCAGUGGCGAAGGCGGCCUUCUGGACUGACACUGACACUGAGGUGCGAAAGCGUGGGUAGCAAACAGGAUUAGAUAUCCCGGUAGUC